rnacentral:rRNA from 1 species
AGUGGGGGAUAAUUCGGGGAAACUCGAGUUAAUACCGCAUACGCCCUACGGUGGAAAGCCGGGGACCGCAAGGCCUGGCGUUAACAGAUGAGCCCAAGUCGGAUUAGCUAGUUGGUAGGGUAAUGGCCUACCAAGGCUACGAUCCGUAGCUGGUCUGAGAGGACGACCAGCCACACUGGGAUUGAGACACGGCCCAGACUCCUACGGGAGGCAGCAGUGGGGAAUAUUGGACAAUGGGCGAAAGCCUGAUCCAGCCAUGCCGCGUGGGUGAAGAAGGCCUUCGGGUUGUAAAGCCCUUUUGUUGGGGAAGAAAUCCUGCUGGCUAAUACCCGGC